rnacentral:rRNA from 1 species
AUACGGAGGGGGCUAGCGUUGUUCGGAAUUACUGGGCGUAAAGCGCGCGUAGGCGGGUUGGCAAGUUGAAGGUGAAAUCCUAGGGCUCAACCCUGGAACUGCCUCCAAAACUGCCAGUCUUGAGUUCGGAAGAGGUGAGUGGAAUUCCUAGUGUAGAGGUGAAAUUCGUAGAUAUUAGGAAGAACACCAGUGGCGAAGGCGACUCACUGGUCCGAUACUGACGCUGAGGUGCGAAAGCGUGGGGAGCAAACAGGAUUAGAAACCCUAGUAGUCC